rnacentral:lncRNA from 1 species
UCACACCAAUCAUCACAGUUUAUCCCAUCUUUCGUGCUUAAAGAAAAAGAAAGAACCGCCGCGCGCACGCAGCCGCCGGCGAACUGGCCCCGGAGGCGCCUCCUCCUUCCCAACCCCGCCCUAGCCCUUCUCCCCUGCUCGGCCUCCUCGCGCGCACGGCCGGCCGCCGGGUUUGGAGCCACCCCAGGGGGGGGGGGGGGGGGGGCGCGACGCUGCCGCCUGCCGGGGCCUCAUUCCACCGGCCUCCAUCUCGUUCGCAUCGAUUCCAAGGUAGCUUUUCUAAACAGUAAGGAGAUUUUGAGCUUCCCAUAA